rnacentral:lncRNA from 1 species
GCAAGGUCAAAAUAUGGAGAUAUGGCAAAAAAACAUCUCAAAAGAAAAAUGUUCAAAAUUUUGAAAAAAUGUAAAAUAUAAUUUUGACUCUGAAAUCGUUAAUCUUAGAAGCAACAAAUAUAUAAAUGAAAGGUUAUUGAAGUUAAAUAUGCUUUAUAUGAGAUGCUCACGUCACCACUAACAAACUACUAUAUACACAACACAUUAUUGAAAAAACAAACACAAAAUAUAUUAACAUAUCACCUAUUACUACAUAAUACAAUAAAAAUACCAAAUAAUUCUUUUUAACAAAUAAAGACGACUAUAUAAUUACAUCAUUGAGAAAAAUCAUACUUAUCAACAAUAUAAAAAUAUUCCGCUCUUCGUAGUCC